GAUAGUGUGGUAUAAUGGUUAGAGUGUCACACUAGGACUGUGGAGACUUGGGUUCAAAUCCCUACUCAGCCA